GAUGAACGCUGCGGCGUGCCUAAUACAUGCAAGUAGAACGCUGAAGCUUGGUGCUUGCACCGAGCGGAGGAGUUGCGAACGGGUGAGUAACGCGUAGGUAACCUGCCUCUUAGCGGGGGAUAACUAUUGGAAACGAUAGCUAAUACCGCAUAAAAGUCGACAUUGCAUGAUGUUGACUUGAAAGGUGCAACUGCAUCACUAAGAGAUGGACCUGCGUUGUAUUAGCUAGUUGGUGAGGUAACGGCUCACCAAGGCGACGAUACAUAGCCGACCUGAGAGGGUGAUCGGCCACACUGGGACUGAGACACGGCCCAGACUCCUACGGGAGGCAGCAGUAGGGAAUCUUCGGCAAUGGGGGCAACCCUGACCGAGCAACGCCGCGUGAGUGAAGAAGGUUUUCGGAUCGUAAAGCUCUGUUGUAAGAGAAGAACGAGUGUGAGAGUGGAAAGUUCACACUGUGACGGUAACUUACCAGAAAGG
rnacentral:rRNA from 1 species